UCGAGGACAGGAGGACAGAGGAAGCCGUAUGAGGGUUUAGGGUUUAGGUCGAGGACAGAGGAAGCAGUAUGAGGGUUUAGGGUUUAGGUCAAGGACAGGAGGACAGAGGAAGCCGUAUGAGGGUUUAGGGUUUAGGUCGAGGACAGAUGAAGCAGUAUGAGGGUUUAGGGUUUAAGUCGAGGACAGGAGGACAGAGGAAGCAGUAUGAGGGUUUAGGGUUUAGGUCGAGGACAGAGGAAGCAGUAUGAGGGUUUAGGGUUUAGAUCAAGGACAGAGGAUGCAGUAUGAGGGUUUAGGUCAAGGACAGGAGGACAGAGGAAGCAGUAUGAGGGUUUAGGGUUUAGGUAAAGGACAGGAGGACAGAGGAAGCCGUAUGAGGGUUUAGGGUUUAGGAAGAGGACAGAGGAAGUAGUAUGAGGGUUUAGGUCAAGGACAGGAGGACAGAGGAAGCAGCAUGAGGGUUUAGGGUUUAGGUCAAGGACAGGAGGACAGAGGAAGCCGUAUGAGGGUUUAGGUCGAGGACAGAGGAAGCAGUAUGAGGGUUUAGGGUUUAGGUCAAGGACAGGAGGACAGAGGAAGCCGUAUGAGGGUUUAGGGUUUAGGUCGAGGACAGAGGAAGCAGUAUGAGGGUUUAGGUCAAGGACAGCAGGACAGAGGAAGCAGUAUGAGGGUUUAGGGUAUAGAUCAAGGACAGAGGAAGCCGUAUGAGGGUUUAGGGUUUAGGUCGAGGACAGGAGGACAGAGGAAGCCGUAUGAGGGUUUAGGGUUUAGGUCGAGGACAGAGGAAGCAGUAUGAGGGUUUAGGGUUUAGGUCAAGGACAGGAGGACAGAGGAAGCAGUAUGAGGGUUUAGGGUUUAGGUAAAGGACAGGAGGACAGAGGAAGCCGUAUGAGGGUUUAGGGUUUAGGUCGAGGACAGAGGAAGCAGUAUGAGGGUUUAGGGUUUAGGUCAAGGACAGGAGGACAGAGGAAGCAGCAUGAGGGUUUAGGGUUUAGGUCAAGGACAGGAGGACAGAGGAAGCCGUAUGAGGGUUUAGGUCGAGGACAGAGGAAGCAGUAUGAGGGUUUAGGGUUUAGGUCAAGGACAGGAGGACAGAGGAAGCCGUAUGAGGGUUUAGGGUUUAGGUCGAGGACAGAGGAAGCAGUAUGAGGGUUUAGGUCAAGGACAGCAGGACAGAGGAAGCAGUAUGAGGGUUUAGGGUAUAGAUCAAGGACAGAGGAAGCCGUAUGAGGGUUUAGGGUUUAGGUCGAGGACAGGAGGACAGAGGAAGCCGUAUGAGGGUUUAGGGUUUAGGUCGAGGACAGAGGAAGCAGUAUGAGGGUUUAGGGUUUAGGUCAAGGACAGGAGGACAGAGGAAGCAGUAUGAGGGUUUAGGGUUUAGGUCAAGGACAGGAGGACAGAGGAAGCAGUAUGAGGGUUUAGGGUUUAGGUCAAGGACAGGAGGACAGAGGAAGCAGUAUGAGGGUUUAGGGUUUAGGUCAAGGACAGGAGGACAGAGGAAGCCGUAUGAGGGUUUAGGUCGAGGACAGAGGAAGCAGUAUGAGGGUUUAGGGUUUAGGUCAAGGACAGGAGGACAGAGGAAGCAGUAUGAGGGUUUAGGGUUUAGGUAAAGGACAGGAGGACAGAGGAAGCCGUAUGAGGGUUUAGGGUUUAGGUCAAGGACAGGAGGACAGAGGAAGCAGCAUGAGGGUUUAGGUCAAGGACAGGAGGACAGAGGAAGCCGUAUGAGGGUUUAGGUCGAGGACAGAGGAAGCAGUAUGAGGGUUUAGGGUUUAGGUCAAGGACAGGAGGACAGAGGAAGCCGUAUGAGGGUUUAGGGUUUAGGUCGAGGACAGAGGAAGCAGUAUGAGGGUUUAGGUCAAGGACAGCAGGACAGAGGAAGCAGUAUGAGGGUUUAGGGUAUAGAUCAAGGACAGAGGAAGCCGUAUGAGGGUUUAGGGUUUAGGUCGAGGACAGGAGGACAGAGGAAGCCGUAUGAGGGUUUAGGGUUUAGGUCGAGGACAGGAGGACAGAGGAAGCCGUAUGAGGGUUUAGGUCGAGGACAGAGGAAGCAGUAUGAGGGUUUAGGGUUUAGGUCAAGGACAGGAGGACAGAGGAAGCCGUAUGAGGGUUUAGGGUUUAGGUCAAGGACAGAGGAAGCAGUAUGAGGGUUUAGGGUUUAGGUCGAGGACAGGAGGACAGAGGAAGCAGUAUGAGGGUUUAGGGUUUAGGUCGAGGACAGAGGAAGCAGUAUGAGGGUUUAGGGUUUAGAUCAAGGACAAAGGAAGCAGUAUGAGGGUUUAGGGUUUAGAUCAAGGACAGAGGAAGCAGUAUGAGGGUUUAGGGUUUAGAUCAAGGACAGAGGAAGCUGUAUGAGGGUUUAGGGUUUAGGUCGAGGACAGAGGAAGCAGUAUGAGGGUUUAGG